CAUAAGUAAUCCUGCAGAAAUAACGUAAAUGGUUAUGUAAACAUAAAGAACAUAAAUACCGUCGCAACCAAGAGGGGACCUAGGCUAAAACACUAGGCACUGAGCGACGGAUCCUAUUACACAAUAUUCAUGAACCAUUCCACAUACUCCAUUCGUUCCAAUUUGUUUGAACUAUUUCCUUAUUAGUCUAUUCCAUAAAGAAUGACACAAUUCUAUAUUUUAACGAGAGACUUUUACUGACACAAAUUUGUUAUAACAUGUUUAAAACCAUAAAUUUUAAAAGUGUUAUAUAGUGUAUGACAUAUAUAAGAACACAAGUUUCAAUAGUACUCUUUUAUUUAUAAAUCCAUUUAUGCCAAACAAAUUGAAACCGAGGGAGUAAUUAAAGAGCUAUUCUUUUCCCUUUUUUUUUGGCUUUUCUCAUUGACAACACCUGUACCUUCUUCUUUCCUGAACCAAGAGGUGGUUUUUUUUUAUAACGGAGAAAUCUACUAUUUCUAGGUUUAAGUUUUUUAAAAUAAAAAUGGAUUUUUGGCUAAACAAUACAUUCCAAAGGGUAACUUCUAUUUCAAUCAGUGCUAAAGAAAAAACAAAAAGAAAAUCAGAAACUUCGACAAAAGGGCAAGAAUAUCGCAGUUUUAUUCAGCUAGUAUCACUGAAUUCUACUGUAAAAAAUCAAUAGUAAGCGAAAAAAAAAUAGGGAAAUAAGAAAUUACCAGUUAAAAUCAGCUGUUUGCUGGCUAUCUCUCUGCAACUCGAGAUCUUUCCUCGAUUGUAAAGAGGUUCAGUUGCGAGGAAUUUGUACCGUUUAUGUUCGAAAGGGAACUUAUAGGAUGCAAUCAGCUAAUGCGCCUUCUAAAACGCAAUUAAAAAUUGGAUAU
rnacentral:lncRNA from 1 species